CGGAGUGCUGUAACUGCUCGGUACUAGCCCUGAAGUGGAACCCGAGGCAGCCCAAAAAAAUAAAAUAGCCUUCAUCUCCCUUAACAUGGUGACUGUAGCUGUUCCAUAUGGAAAAGGACAAUGCUGGUGCAUGCUCUAGAAGCUGUGUGCAAGGCAGGUGGCUAUCCUGGGCAGUCGCUGCUGUGGCCAUAGUGCAGCAGAAAUGGAGUGUGGGAAGGUCUCUCAACCCGUGUAAUGCUUCACAAGUCACUCUGGACAAGGAUUACUGGGAGGAAACCUCAAGGCACACCAAGAGACUCCCUGAGUCACUGCAGCUUCUCUCUCCUCCAAGACGCCUUGAAUGCUGGCUGGAUCGACUGCUUUAG
rnacentral:lncRNA from 1 species